rnacentral:rRNA from 1 species
UACGUAGGGGGCAAGCGUUGCUCGGAAUUACUGGGCGUAAAGGGUGAGUAGGCGGUCGGGCAAGUCAAGGAUGAAAUCCCGAGGCUCAACUUCGGAAUUGUUCUUGAAACUGCUCGGCUUGAGGGUAGUUGAGGAGAGCGGAAUUCCCGGUGGAGCGGUGAAAUGCGUAGAUAUCGGGAGGAACACCUGAGGCGAAGGCGGCUCUCUAAACUACUCCUGACGCUGAAUCACGAAAGCUAGGGGAGCAAACGGGAUUAGAUACC